ACUCACCUGUGUGUGUGGCGUUCCAGAAAAAGGAAUGAGAGCUCUCAUCUCGCAUCCGUCCCUGCGGGCAGUACCCAUCUUCGCAAACCUGCUUAAUCCCUUCUUUGAAUCAGCCUUCACUAACCACUCUCUCUUUCCUCCUACCAGAUUAACUCCCUAUUCAAUUUCUCCAAGAUCUAAUAAGACAAAUUUAAAAGUUCCUUCAUAAGCACUUCAACUCUUUAUCCAUAUUCCUAGAUCCAAUUAUCUUACUCCAAGAGUUGGUCUAAUUCCCUUGAAAUUCUAUCGGUCAUAAGCUUAAUUAUUAUUACUACUUCUCAACAUAUAGACGUUUUUCUUCUGUUAAUAAAUUGAGUUCGCAGAUCUGGUGGGCAGAUUUUAUCGCAUUGUUGGAUUAAAUUAUUGAGGGUUGAAAUUGAAAAUAAAAUGGGCGGCACAAGGAGGGCUAGUGUUAUCAUUUGCCUCAUUGCUCGUUCACUUAAUUCUUGUCAAGUCCAAUGAUGAUCUUGUUCAAUAUACUGCUACUACUCUUUUCACUAAGGAUUUGACUUCCACUUUAGCCACUAGAAAAGGUCUUGGGUUUCGCAAGUUGUGGGGAAAUGUGAAGUCAUUGGAGUCCUUGCACCCUCAUCCAAUCCAAGAAGUGCAUACCCUGAUUGAGCCGAGCGUUGGUGAAUUGGUAAAGGAAAAAGCUAAAUUGAGUAUUGAAUUGGCCGUAUUGAGGUACAUAUAUUUGAACUCUGCAAUGUGAAUUCAAGUUGGAGAUGAAAUGAAGCGAUUUCUCUAUUUUAUUAGCUUCAUAUUAGUAUUAACAGUGAUUGUAGUUUCCUGUUUGUUAUGUAGACCAAUGAUGUAUUAAUCGUGUUUUGGUUUAUAAACCUGUUUGGAAAUGUUAGCUUCAGUAGUAUUUUGGGACAUUCAAAACUGUAUAAAUUGGACUGUUUAUUAGAGAUUUUCAACACUUAAA